UCAAAUUCUUUUUUCUUUAGGCCUUUUCAUUCCUUUCGGAACAUAGGCCAUCGAUGAAGAGUUUCCACCCUCGUCUGUCUUGUGCCAUUUCCUCCAGCUGUUUCCACGACAGUCCCAUCUUC